UACGUAGGUGGCAAGCGUUGUCCGGAUUUAUUGGGUUUAAAGGGUGCGUAGGCGGUGACCUAAGUCAGUUGUGAAAUACUUCAGCUUAACUGGAGAGGUGCAAUUGAUACUGGGUUACUUGAGUACUGAUGAGGUAUGCGGAAUGGACGGUGUAGCGGUGAAAUGCUUAGAUAUCGUCCAGAACACCGAUAGCGAAGGCAGCAUACUAAGGAGUAACUGACGCUGAGGCACGAAAGUGUGGGGAGCGAACAGG
rnacentral:rRNA from 1 species